CAAAUUGAUUCUUUUCAUUUUUGUUGCGCGCGUGUUCGCUGUUUCAAAAACAAACCAAAAUUUAUCCGAAGAGCUCGCUACGGUAAACGUUAAUAUAUGGCGAGGUUUUGGAAAAUGAGUCGCUACAAAAUCCAGCUGGAGGCAGAUCCGGAUGUCAGCUGGAAAGUGCCUAUAUUCGAAUUGCAGUAGUGGAGUGUAGGCUUGUGGUGGAAUUAAUUCCCUCAGAAACAUUCGUGAACGUGAAAAGUGUAACGUGAAUGAAAUGGAAGAUUCAUGAAUAAAUAAAUAUAAUUAAGAA